GACGAACGCUGGCGGCGUGCUUAACACAUGCAAGUCGAACGCUGAAGCUCAGCUUUUGUUGGGUGGAUGAGUGGCGAACGGGUGAGUAACACGUGAGUAACCUGCCCCCUUCUUUGGGAUAACGCCCGGAAACGGGUGCUAAUACUGGAUAUUCACUGGUCUUCGCAUGGGGGUUGGUGGAAAGGGUUUUUCUGGUGGGGGAUGGGCUCGCGGCCUAUCAGCUUGUUGGUGGGGUGAUGGCCUACCAAGGCUUUGACGGGUAGCCGGGCUGGGAGGGUGACCGGUAACAUUGGGACUGAGAUCCGGCCCAGAAUCCUACGGGAGGCAGCAGGGGGGAAGAUUGCACAAUGGGCGCAAGCCUGAUGCAGCGCCGCCGAGGGAGGGAUGGAGGCCUUCGGGUUGUGAACCUCUUUCGCUCAUGGUCAAGCCGCAACAAUGGUUGUGGUGAGGGUAGUGGGUAAAGAAGCGCCGGCUAACUACGUG
rnacentral:rRNA from 1 species